rnacentral:rRNA from 1 species
AACGUAGGACGCAAGCGUUAUCCGGAGUUACUGGGCGUAAAGCGCGGGCAGGCGGUUGGUCAAGUCUGAUGUGAAAUCUCCUCGCUCAACGGGGAGCAGCCAUUGGAAACUGGGCAACUGGAGUCUGGCAGAGGUAGGCGGAAUUCCGGGUGGAGUGGUGAAAUGCGUAGAGAUCCGGAGGAACACCUGCGGCGAAGGCGGGUAGCUGGGCCGACACUGACGCUGAGGCGCGAAAGCCAGGGGAGCGAACGGG